UACGGGGGGAGCAAGCGUUGUUCGGAUUUACUGGGCGUAAAGGGCGCGUAGGCGGCCAGUGCAAGUCAGUUGUGAAAUCUCCGAGCUUAACUCGGAAAGGUCAACUGAUACUGUGCGGCUAGAGUGCGGAAGGGGCAACUGGAAUUCUUGGUGUAGCGGUGAAAUGCGUAGAUAUCAGGAGGAACACCGGUGGCGAAGGCGGGUCUCUGGGCCGAUACUGACGCUGAGGAGCGAAAGCGUGGGGAGCGAACAGG
rnacentral:rRNA from 1 species